UGUUUUGAUAGCACAGCCUAACCCAACCUCUGUGUUUGCACAAGGCUUUUAACUACCAGCCUGAGGCAAGUUGAAAGUAGCAGAGGAAGGAAGGGAGCAGAUCAGGAAGCCACUAAGCCAAUUUUCCAUGAAUCAAAUGAGCAGACUCCUGUAACUUUUCUUUGAGGCAGGAGGCUGGGGGUACACAAGGAGCUGGGAGGGGACACAGUCUGACCUGAACUGACCACAUUCCAGACCAUAUGGCAUCAUGAUCAGUACAUAAAGCCAGGAGAAGGUUGUUCAGGAGUUCACUGCUCAGGCACUGGCUGGGCAUCCAUCAGUUGGUGCAGAUGGAAUAUGUCAAUCAGCCAUGAAGCCAGGGAAGACCAAGUAUUUUGGAAUCACGAAUUCUAGGACAAAAGGAACAAAAAAAGAUUCCAUUUUACUUCAUAAGUUACUUGAACACAUUUGAAAGAAUUUUUUUGACAAAAAUUUGUAGAAAAAAAUAAAACUGAAGAGGAUAAAACAUUUUGAAAUUGUAUACUUCAGUCUUUGUUCAUCAAAGUAUUGUUUCAUUUUUCAUUGACCCUUUCAAUGUCAUUUGAUCCAAAAGUAGGAAAAUCCUGAGUAUCUAAAACUAAUUCAUUACAGUUUGGUACAAUCA